CGGACUGAGGAGCAGAGCCGUCGUGGGGAAGUCAGGAGGGACAUCAGUUCGGUCAGCGGCAGGGGAGGAGGAAAGAGACGGAACAUGAAACUGAAGAGAUAUAUGGAGAGAAUCAAUAAACAGAGAGCUGCUGUGAACAGAUGAUAACUUGUGGUGAAGAUGACAUCAUGGUGCCGGAGCAGGAAGCAGAGGGGGCCUUGGGAGGAGCAGCGGACCGCGAGUCCUCCCAGGUCUCUGGGCUGUGCAGACUUUAAGGGCACCUCUGACCAGAGGACGGCCAGACGGAGUUGGAGAACAUGAGGGAAACGAGCGCGGUGAAGGACAGAGGUUGAUUUGGAGGAUGCUGAAGAACACUUCCAUUCAUUGUCUGCAGGGAAAACGCAGUCAAGAGGAUUUCCUCAGGACAACUGCUGGAUCACUUGGAGCGCUCUUCACUCAGAGAGCGAAGGGAAAAAGGACUGUGAUUGAUGACUAUCAUGGCAAAGACCCUUCUGGGACUGACAAGAGGGGAACAAGGUUGUUUUUUGUUGUACGUCUGGAGAAGAAGCAGCAGUUACUUUAUAAUUGGUUUGAGAAAAAAAUCAAAAACACAGAUAAGACAAUGGGUGUGAGGAGGAGGGAGGAAACGGUCUUCAUCAUCUUGUCAGCUCGGCAGAUCAGGCAGGAAGUGGUGGGCUGGACCAGGUGUGGAGUGUUAUCCCCGCGUCCAACCUCUGUUAACAGUGUCUAAAUAUAACUGGUGGGGCUGCAGCCUAUUGUUCUUGUCUUUGUUGGUUUAUCUGAUAGUUUGAUUAACCGAUUGAGUGGUUGAGCUUUAAAACAUUAGAGAAUGCUCAUCGCAAUUUCUCAAGAGCCACAAAAACACAGAGAUAUUAAGAUUUACCGAGAUGUAAGACAAGAAAAAGCAAAUCCUCAAAUCUGAAAACAUCUAAUAUUUGUAAAUUGUGUAAUAAUCCAAUAUUUCUAUAUACAUAUAAAUAUAUACAUACAUUCUAAAGUCUCUCUUAAUGUAUUUAC